rnacentral:rRNA from 1 species
GAGACAGCAGUAGCCGCGGUAAUACGUAGGGUGCAAGCAUUAAUUGGAAUUACUGGGCGUAAAGCGUGCGCAGGCGGUUCUAUAAGACAGAUGUGAAAUCCCCAGGCUCAACCUGGGAACUGCAUUUGUGACUGUAGAGCUGGAGUGCGGCAGAGGGGAAUGGAAUUCCGCGUGUAGCAGUGAAAUGCGUAGAUAUGCGGAGGGACACCGAUGGCGAAGGCAAUCCCCUGGGCCUGCACUGACGCUCAUGCACGAAAGCGUGGGGAGCAAACAGGAUUAGAGACCCCUGUAGUCCCUGUCUCUUAUAC